ACAGAAGGAUCAGCUAGCACCACAUGUCAUAAGUUUGAUGAUUCAGAUAUCAGCAUCACAUCUCACCAUGAUGAUAGUGAAGAAAGCAGUCUGGUAGAUAUAACAGAGGACUCCAGCUCCCAUUGUCUUGGUACUACAAUAGAUGACACUGUCAUAGAUCCUGUAGAGAAUUCUCAGGCUAACAAUAACAAUAAACCAAGAAAACCCAAAAAGCCAAGACUUCAAGAAUUAGAGACCAAUGACUUGGAGAGUGAAAGUGGGAGUGAAGAUGGUGAAAUAUCUGUUUGAAUAACAAGGUCUUGCCAAGUAAAGAUCAAGCACAUCAACAUUUCUCACUUCAUAUAAUUUAAUGGGCUUGAUUGAUUGUCAAGAACCCCAGAGGGGACUCGGAUAAACACAGACAGGGGUGAUCAUCGGCAAAAUCAAUUUUAACCCUAAGGUAAUCAACAGAAAUUCAUAACCCUAAAAGAUAACAAAUUGGUGUGGUGGAAGAAGGAAGAGAUGGCAGAUUU